AUAGCAACAGCAGCGUAGCUGAACAUCUUACGGAUGGCCCAGGGCUCCAAAGGCUCGUUUCCUAAGUGAGAGAGAGCCUGGCUGAAGCUGUAUUACCAUUCAUUCUCCAGCCUCCGAAGUCUCAAAGCAUCACUUCCACCAUACUCUAACUGUCAAGACAAACACAAAGGCCCAGAAAGAAGAAUACACUAUCGAUGUUCCUUUUAAACAAGUAUUUGAGUAAAAGCGAUGUUUCCAAUGUGUGUCAGAAAGUGAAUACUUGUAUAUUUCCGCACGGUUAGAGCUGAGCUUUCCGAGCAAAUUUUACUGGGACCCGGUUGAAAGACAGGUCUUGGAAGUGAAAUGAUGACUGACUAGAUGACAUUACAUGUAAAUGGAAUCAUACAAUAUGUGAUCUUUUGUGACUGGCUUCUUUCACUUAGCAUAACGUUUUCAAGGUUUGUUCGUGUUGUAGCAGAAACUGCCAGACUGUCUUCUGAAGUGGCUAUAAUAUUUACACUCCCAUCAGCAGUGUCUGAGUUUGCAGAGUAAACCACUACCCUGAAAUCUGGAAAGGCAGGUGCACCCACAGAUCCUCAGCUGAGAUCCAAUUACCUGAAAUAGAAGCUGCCAUUAGGAACACUUAAAAGAGCCUGUUCUGCUGGGACACAGAAUCACUUGCUCCAUCUCAUACAUUGAUGAUGAUUAAUUUGUAUGUGUACCUUCCAAAAA
rnacentral:lncRNA from 1 species